GACGAACGCUGGCGGCGUGCUUAACACAUGCAAGUCGAACGGAAAGGCCCUGCUUUUGUGGGGUGCUCGAGUGGCGAACGGGUGAGUAACACGUGAGUAACCUGCCCUUGACUUUGGGAUAACUUCAGGAAACUGGGGCUAAUACCGGAUAGGAGCUCCUGCUGCAUGGUGGGGGUUGGAAAGUUUCGGCGGUUGGGGAUGGACUCGCGGCUUAUCAGCUUGUUGGUGGGGUAGUGGCUUACCAAGGCUUUGACGGGUAGCCGGCCUGAGAGGGUGACCGGCCACAUUGGGACUGAGAUACGGCCCAGACUCCUACGGGAGGCAGCAGUGGGGAAUAUUGCACAAUGGGCGGAAGCCUGAUGCAGCAACGCCGCGUGCGGGAUGACGGCCUUCGGGUUGUAAACCGCUUUCGCCUGUGACGAAGCGUGAGUGACGGUAAUGGGUAAAGAAGCACCGGCUAACUACGUGCCAGCAGCCGCGGUGAUACGUAGGGUGCGAGCGUUGUCCGGAUUUAUUGGGCGUAAAGGGCUCGUAGGUGGUUGAUCGCGUCGGAAGUGUAAUCUUGGGGCUUAACCCUGAGCGUGCUUUCGAUACGGGUUGACUUGAGGAAGGUAGGGGAGAAUGGAAUUCCUGGUGGAGCGGUGGAAUGCGCAGAUAUCAGGAGGAACACCAGUGGCGAAGGCGGUUCUCUGGGCCUUUCCUGACGCUGAGGAGCGAAAGCGUGGGGAGCGAACAGGCUUAGAUACCCUGGUAGUCCACGCUGUAAACGGUGGGUACUAGGUGUGGGGUCCAUUCCACGGGUUCCGUGCCGUAGCUAACGCUUUAAGUACCCCGCCUGGGGAGUACGGCCGCAAGGCUAAAACUCAAAGGAAUUGACGGGGCCCCGCACAAGCGGCGGAGCAUGCGGAUUAAUUCGAUGCAACGCGUAGAACCUUACCUGGGUUUGACAUGGAUCGGGAGUGCUCAGAGAUGGGUGUGCCUCUUUUGGGGUCGGUUCACAGGUGGUGCAUGCCUGUCGUCAGCUCGUGUCGUGAGAUGUUGGGUUAAGUCCCGCAACGAGCGCAACCCUUGUUCACUGUUGCCAGCACGUUAUGGUGGGGACUCAGUGGAGACCGCCGGGGUCAACUCGGAGGAAGGUGGGGAUGACGUCAAGUCCUCAUGCCCCUUAUGUCCAGGGCUUCACGCAUGCUACAAUGGCUGGUACAGAGAGUGGCGAGCCUGUGAGGGUGAGCGAAUCUCGGAAAGCCGGUCUCAGUUCGGAUUGGGGUCUGCAACUCGACCUCAUGAAGUCGGAGUCGCUAGUAAUCGCAGAUCAGCAACGCUGCGGUGAAUAAGGUCCCGGG
rnacentral:rRNA from 1 species